GCGAGGUCCUUCUCACGCUAUUUGCUGGCUGUGGGCUGCACCAGAUCUGCUACAUCAAGUUUGACUUCAGAGUUUAUGCGAUGCAGUUUUAUCACUGCUUCCUGUUGUCCUUUUAGAGUUUGAUUUUCUUUUUAGUUAAUCCGCUCAGUUUUGAUUGUUUGUCUCCUCUUAGUACUUGUGAGGGCGGGCUAACAACCUUCCAUUUAUUUAGUUUGUUUGGCCCUCCGUUUGUCUUUGGGUCACUUCCUGAAUACUCACAUCUCAUGUCGCUGUUAAUCUUAAAUAUUUGAGACCCGAUCCUGUUUGGUGUGAUCUUGAGUUUGGAUUGCAUGUGAUCAU